GGUGUCGGGGUGGCCUGUGGGCUGGGGAUCACCGUCGGCUUCUUCCUUCUCGGGCUCUGUGUGAUCAAACUGCAGGGUCGGGAGCCGGCGCCCCCAAGCGCUGAGGCCGGGGAGAUGGCUAACGGGAGCCAGGCCAAGCACACAGCCAACAACGCCAGCCAGAUCUACAUUAACAUCCCCACCAUCCCCAUGGAUCACAAGACUCCAGACAAAGGCGUCCAGGACGGGGCUGCAGCAGCCCAGGCCCCGCUAGGCCCCAGGGAGCUGAACGAGCUGCA